rnacentral:rRNA from 1 species
AUGGCGCACGUUUCGUUCAAAUCCAAGGAGGUGGACAGCGUGCCCCGGUGGUCGGAAUACCUGACCGCCGAGGAGUCUUCUCCCUCAGCGUCAGCAAGCUGGAGGACCAUGGGCGUCGACGGGCCUCAACCCUCGUCGAGUGGCCAGAGGCACCUUCAGAUGGAGCCAGUGGUUCAGCUCUCCAAGGUCGCGGAAGGGCUGCUGGCCAAGAUGUACAGGCUCAACAGUAUCCUGGACUACCCAGAUCCAAACACGCACACCUUCUCGGAGGCAUUUUGGAAAACUGGUGUUAUGCCGAAUUUCCCGAAAAUUUGCAUCACCUUGUCCAAGAAAUUUCCUGAGCAUCCCAACAAGCUGCAGCUUGAAAAGGUAGACAAGUUUGCUCUUGAUGCUUUGAAUGAAAACGCGGAAGGUUACAUGCAAAACCUAGAGCAAUGGAUCAUGCUGCUUCUUGAUUUGCUGGAAUUUCGUGAACAAGUUCUGCGACUAAUUUUGGAUCUAAGUAGUACGGUCAUAACAUUGCUGCCCCAUCAGAACUCUUUAAUUCUUCAUGCUUUUAUGGAUCUAAUUUGCUCAUUUGUGAGAGUCAACCUUUUCUCGGACAAGAUACCAAGAAAGAUGAUCCUCCAGGUUUACAACAUCUUGCACGUCAUGCUAAAGGGUGGACGUGAUUGUGAGUUUUAUCAUCGAUUGGUUCAGUUUGUAGAUUCUUAUGAUCCACCUGUCAAGGGAUUGCAUGAGGAUCUAAAUUUUGUGAGCCCGCGUAUUGGCGAGGUUCUAGAGGCUGUUGGCCCAAUUAUCUUUCUUUCAACUGAUACAAAAAAGUUAAGAAAUGAAGGAUUCCUCAGUCCAUUUCAUCCGCGGUAUCCUGACAUCCUUACGAACUCUGCUCAUCCCAUGAGGGCCCAAGAUCUGGCUAAUGUGACGUCAUAUCGUGAAUGGGUUCUUCUUGGAUAUCUUGUUUGCCCUGAUGAACUACUUCGGGUGACCAGUAUAGAUGUUGCGAUGGUUGUUCUUAAAGAGAACUUAGUACUCCCUCUGUUCAGAGAUGAGUACAUCUUACUUCACGAGAAUUAUCAACAUUAUGUCCUUCCAAAAGUUUUAGAAUCAAAGAGAAUGGCUAAAUCUGGACGUACUAAACAAAAGGAAGCUGAUAUGGAAUACAAUAUUGCAAAGCAGGUUGAGAAGAUGUUAACGGAAGUGCACGAGCAAGCAUUGGUGGCAUGUGAUGCUAUACAUCAUGAAAGGAGAAUUCUUCUUAAGCAGGAAGUUGGAAGGAUGGUAUUGUUUUUCACGGAUCAACCUAGCCUCCUGGCGCCUAAUAUACAGAUGGUAUUUUCUGCUCUUGCUUUGGCACAAUGUGAGGUGGUUUGGUACUUCCAACACGUAGGGAUUGCAUCAUCAAAAUCUACUCGAGGGAGAACUGUUGACAUUGAUGCAACUGACCCAACCAUUGGUUUCAUAUUAGAUGGAAUGGGCAAACUUUGUUGCCUGGUCCGUAAAUAUAUAGCAGCAAUAAAAGGCUAUGCGUUAUCGUACUUAUCAUCUUGUGCUGGAAGAAUACGGUUCUUACUUGGUACCCCAGGCAUGGUUGCUCUUGAUCUAGAUGCUACACUGAAGGGCCUGUUCCAGCAAGUUCUCCAUUGUCUGGAGAACAUUCCAAAACCUCAGGGGGAGAAUGUCCCUGCUAUUACUUGUGACUUAACUGAUUUGCGCAAGCACUGGCUAUCCAUUUUGAUGAUUGUCACAUCUUCACGAUCCUCUAUAAAUAUAAGGCACUUGGAGAAGGCUACCAUGUCUACCGGGAAGGAGGGCCUGGUCUCAGAAGGCAAUGCUGCAUACAGUUGGUCAAGAUGUGUGGACGAACUUGAGAGCCAACUUUCCAAACAUGGAAGUCUUAAAAAACUGUACUUUUAUCAUCAGCAUCUCACAACUGUCUUCAGAAACACAAUGUUUGGUCCAGAAGGCCGUCCACAACACUGUUGUGCAUGGCUCGGAGCAGCUUGCAGUUUUCCAGAAUGUGCUUCUGCAAUUAUUCCUGAAGAGGUUAACAAGAUUGGCAGAGAUUCUAUCUCAUAUGUUGAAUCUCUUAUUGAGUCUAUCAUGGGUGGAUUGGAAGGUUUGAUAAAUAUUCUUGAUUCAGAAGGUGGAUUUGGCUCACUGGAGAUGCAGCUUUCGCCGGAACAAGCAGCUCUACGAUUGAAUAAUGUAACAAGAGUCAAAGCUGUUCCAGGGUUAUCAGCACCAGGGAAUGAGAGCUAUCCUGAUAAUAGUUCUUCAGUUAAGAUGCUGGAAGCUGCUAUGCAAAGGCUGACAAGUCUAUGUUCUGUGCUAAAUGACAUGGAGCCUAUUUGUGUUCUCAACCAUGUUUUUGUUCUCCGGGAGUACAUGAGAGACUGCAUCAUAGGAAAUUUCAGGAGAAGGUUUCAUAGCAUGAUUCGAACUGAUAACUGCCUUCAGCGACCAUCAAUCAUAGAAUCUCUCCUAAGAAGACACCUAAGCAUCAUCCAUCUGGCAGAGCAGCAUAUCAGUAUGGACCUUACUGAAGGUAUACGGGAAGUGCUCCUAGCAGAAAGUUUUACUGGGCUGUUCUCAAACCUGCAAGUAUCUGAGAGACCAGUAGAGACAAAUGGAGGAGGAUCUGCCAUAGAGAUAAUAUGUAGUUGGUACAUCGAGAACAUAGUAAGAGAUGCAUCUCGGACCGGAGUUGUUUUUGAUGCAACUCAUAGUUGCUUCAGGAGCUCACAGCCCAUUGGUGGUGGAUAUUUAGCGGAAUCAUUUACAGAUAAAAGAGAACUCAAAGCACUUGUUCGUCUUUUUGGUGGUUAUGGAAUAGAUAAAAUGGAUAAGAUGCUAAGGGAACAUACUUCUGCUCUGUUAAAUUGUAUCGAUUCAGCACUGAGGUCGAAUCGUGAUGCAUUAGAAGGCCUGGCCGGAAGUGUAAAUUCUGGUGAUAGGAUUGAAAGAGAUGCAAAUCUAAGGCAGAUAAUUGAUAUUGAAGCGUUGGCCGACUUCUGUAUCCAGGCAGGGCAGGCAAUAACUUUCCGUCAGCUGUUGGUAGAAGCUGUCGGAGCAGUCCUCAAAGAGAAAGUACCUCUUAUAUAUUCUCUACUCAAGGGAUUGACUAUGCAGUUGCCAGAUGAGGUGCCUGAUAAAAAUGAGAUCAUUAGAUUGAGAAGGGUUGCAAGCAGUGUUGGUGUUGGUGACAAACAUGACGCCGAGUGGGUGCAUUCAAUUCUGGCAGAAUCUAGUUCUGCUAGUGAUAAUUCUUGGAUCCUACUUCCAUAUCUUUGUUCUGCAUUUAUGGUGUCCAAUAUGUGGAGCAGUGCUGUUUAUGAUGUCAAUACAGGUGGUUUCAGUAACAAUUUGCACUGCCUANNNAGGUGUGUUAGUGCUGUGGUUGGAGGAAGUGAAUACACUAGGCUGGCGAAGGAACAGCGAAUAAAUUCUCUUUCAAAUGGGCAUACAGAUGAGCUUCAAGAGACUGAAUUGCUGAGCCGUGCCUCAGCUGAAUCAAAUAUUAAAUCUGCUAUGCAACUGUAUGUGAAAUUAUCUGCUGGGAUCGUCCUGGAUUCAUGGAAUGACAGUAGCAGACCACACAUCGUUCCAAAGCUAAUAUUCCUUGAUCAACUCUGUGAGUUGUCCCCGUACCUCCCAAGGAGCACCUUAGAAGCUCACAUACCUUACACCAUCCUGCGUUCGAUCUAUCACCAGCUGUACGGAGCUUCACAAAUGGGUUCAGAACCAACGGAGCCAUCCCCAAGGCAGUCGCCUCUGAUUUCUCUGGCACAUGCUUCCCCAUCAAUGAGGCCGAACCGAUCGGACACAACACCCAGGUCGCACACUUACGAGUCGGGCUACCACAGCUCAUCUGGCUCCCAGCACGACGACGGCUAUGAAGUGGACCGAAGAACCGGAGAGAGGCAGCUACGAAGUAUGAGGCGUUCCGGGCCACUCGACUACGGUGCAAGCAGGAAAGCGAAGUUCGUCGAGGGUUCAAGCUCUGGAAGCCAUGGUGCCGGCUCACUACAAAGGUUUGCUGUGUCAAGAUCUGGCCCUCUGUCCUACAAAUAG